CACCGCGUUGGGCGGGUUCGAUCCCAGGUAUUUCAUGUACCUGGAGGAUGUCGAUAUCUGUCGCCGGGCUGCGGGCCUGGGCGCGGUGA
rnacentral:tRNA from 1 species